UAGCAAUACGGGAGUGGCAGACGGGUGAGUAACGCGUGGGAACAUACCCUCCGGUUCGGAAUAACUCAGGGAAACUUGAGCUAAUACCGGAUACGGCCGGGAGGCGAAAGAUUCAUCGCCGGAGGAUUGGCCCGCGUUCGAUUAGCUAGUUGGUGAGGUAACGGCUCACCAAGGCGACGAUCGAUAGCUGGUCUGAGAGGAUGAUCAGCCACAUUGGGACUGAGACACGGCCCAAACUCCUACGGGAGGCAGCAGUGGGGAAUAUUGGACAAUGGGCGCAAGCCUGAUCCAGCCAUGCCGCGUGAGUGAUGACGGCCUUAGGG
rnacentral:rRNA from 1 species